rnacentral:lncRNA from 1 species
CAGUGAAAUAUGACGUCAGUUCUGUUUUCAUCAACAUUAAUUUUUUUUCUGGCGAAACAUCCGAUUUAGACGACAACAGCUACUCUGAUUGGCUGAUGGGAAAAGGGUGGCGGAACAGCUCAAAAUAGUGACAGCUAGGAGCAUACCAGUUGUGUUUGUCCGAAUAUCACUGACUGAAGAACAGAAGAACUACUUGGUUCCCGGCCAUGGAGAUGCUACUGAACGUCAUCGUUGGGUUGAUGAUUUCGUGCACAAGUGCUGUCUAUGUGAGGAGACUGGAAGGAAGCGUGUACUUAUCAAGAGACAAUUGUGAGUCGUCAUCUUGUCCAAAACCACUUCGAGGAGGAACGAGUGUUAAUUUGGUAAGGGAGAAAUUAGCCAUGAAAUGUAGCUGGAAGGAAAAUAUGCCUUAUAGUUUCUAUCAUGAGGAGCCUGUUGUAGACCAACGAAAUCGACAAUUUGAAGGUUCUCAAACGUCAUGUAACCGGUUUAC